UCUGGUGACUUUAGCGGCGGGGAUACACCCGGUCCCAUCUCGAACCCGGAAGUUAAGGCCGCCAGCGCCGAUGGUACUUGGGAGGCAGCUCCCUGGGAGAGUAGGUCGUUGCCAGAG
rnacentral:rRNA from 1 species